AUUGAACGCUGGCGGCAUGCUUUACACAUGCAAGUCGAACGGCAGCACGGGUGCUUGCACCUGGUGGCGAGUGGCGGACGGGUGAGUAAUGCAUCGGAACGUGUCCUGAAGUGGGGGAUAACGCAUCGAAAGAUGUGCUAAUACCGCAUAUUCUCUGAGGAGAAAAGUAGGGGAUCGAAAGACCUUAUGCUUUUGGAGCGGCCGAUGUCUGAUUAGCUAGUUGGUAAGGUAAUGGCUUA
rnacentral:rRNA from 1 species